GGGGAAGGGAGACUCAGCGAAGGAAACUCCUACCAAAGAACAAAGUUAAAACUCACUAAAAUAAAUGUUGGUAUUGCCUUUUCUCUCUAGUUUUUAUUCCAUCUGUAUUCUAUAACUCCUGAGAGAACAGUGGAGGUGAAAAGUGAGAAUUUGGCCUUACAGGAGGACAGGUGUGGAGAACAGGUGUCAAUUAACCAUAAAAUAACAGGUGUGAAUUGAUAAAAAUAUGACAGGUGAGUACAAACAGGUGUGAAUUUGCAUAAGGUGACAGGUGUGAGAUUAGGUUAAAGUGUCUAAAAGGGGAAGGUGAAGAGGUGGUGUGACAUGGCAUUAUAAGUGGACAUCUGUGAACAAAAGGUAUGGAUUUGGCAUUAUAAGUGGACAUCUGUGAACAAAAGGUAUGAAUUUGGCAUUAUAAGUGGACAUCUGUGAACAAAAGGUAUGAAUUUGGCAUUAUAAGUGGACAUCUGUGAACAAAAGGUGCAAAUUUGGCAUUAUAAGUGGACAUCUGUGAACAAAAGGUAUGGAUUUGGCAUUAUAAGUGGACAUCUGUGAACAAAAGGUGCAAAUUUGGCAUUAUAAGGGGACAUCUGUGAACAAAAGGUAUGAAUUUGACAUUAUAAGGGGACAUCUGUGAACAAAAGUUGUGGAUUUGGCAUUAUAAGGGGACAUCUGUGAACAAAAGGUGCAAAUUUGGCAUUAUAAGGGGACAUCUGUGAACAAAAGGUAUGGAUUUGGCAUUAUAAGGGGACAUCUGUGAACAAAAGGUAUGAAUUUGGCAUUAUAAGUGGACAUCUGUGAACAAAAGGUAUGAAUUUGGCAUUAUAAGUGGACAUCUGUGAACAAAAGGUAUGAAUUUGACAUUAUAAGGGGACAUCUGUGAACAAAAGGUAUGAAUUUGACAUUAUAAGGGGACAUCUGUGAACAAAAGGUAUGAAUUUGACAUUAUGAGGUGGUCAUAUAUAAUACUCUUCACCGCAUGACAAUACACAACUUCUCAAACAUUCUGCGGCCUCCUGCCAUUGACCUCUGUACGAUAAGGGUGUCUUCUAACUCUCUUCACAUUAUCAACACAAGAGAUGAUAGAUUAGAGUCCAUAGUGUACUUAUGAGUUAUCAGGUAAAGGAAUAAAGAAUUGAAAUACAUUUUAAAAGAUUUCCAAUACGUUUUUUAAUCACCGAGGAAAAACGUGUUAUAAGUAAAUUUUCGGGUAAAUGAAUCGAAGAAUAAAUGAAUUGUCAGGUAAAGGAAUGAAGACUUGCAAUACAUUUUUAAAAGAACUGCAAUACAUCUUAAACAUGCUAUGCUGCGUCCCUAUUCCGUUGACCUCUGUACGAUAAGCAGUGUCUAAGCACCACCCUUUUGGGCCCAGUACCUACUUUUGGGAGUCCCGGCCCCCCGCCCUUUUUCCAAACAUCAUUAAUCUGGAAAGUCCUAUUCCUCCAACUCCUCCUCAUGCAGUUAACAAUGCUUGAGUGCAGUGCAGGAGGUUUAAGUAUCAAUGAACACUCUAAGCUACGUCCCUGUUUCAUUGACCUCUGUACGAUUAAGGAUGUUUUCUAAUACUUUGCACAUUCUCGAUACAAGAGAUGUUAGAUUUCACAGAGUUCAUAAUAGUACGUCUCAAACACUCUAAGCUACGUCCCAGUUUCAUUGACCUCUGUACGAUUAAGGAUAUGUUUUCUAAUACACUGCACACUAUCAAUACAAGAGAUGUUAGAUUUCACACAUAAUAGUACGUCUCAAACACUCUACGCUAUGUCCCUAUUCCAAUGAUCUCUGUACGAUUAAGGAUAUGUUUACUAAUAUUUUGCACAUUCUCGAUACAAGAGACGAUAGAUUUCACAGAGUUCAUAAUAGUACGUCUCAAAACACUAUGCUAUGUCCCUGUUUCAUUGACCUCUGUACGAUAAGGAUAAGUUUUCUAAUACUCUGCACAUUCUCGAUACAAGAGAUGACAGAUUUCACAGAGUUCAUAAUAGUACGUCUCAAACAUUCUAAGCUACGCCCCUAUUCCAAUGACCUCUACAAUAAGGAUAAGUUUUCUAAUACUCUGCACAUUCUCGAUACAAGAGAUGACAGAUUUUACAGAGUUCAUAAUAGUACGUCUCAAACACUCUACGCUACGUCCCUAUUCCAAUGACCUCUACGAUAAGGAUAGGUUUUCUAAUACUCUGCACACUGUCAAUACAAGAGACACUAGAUUACAGAGUUCAUGGUUAUAUAGACACUUCAAAUUACUUAACCUCUCAGAUAACAAUGAUAGCUGGCCGCGUAGAGUGACCAAGGGAAGGUUCGAGAGAUAAUCAGGGCUGCUUUGUCUAUAUAUCAACUAAUGAGGAGGUUAAUUCGUAAGGAGAUAAGGCAAUGAAAGUAGACUAAUGAGGUGAAAAGUUAAGUAAUAGCUCAGCCUUGGAGUAAUAUAGAGGACUGGGUUGUCUAUAUAUAAGCUAAUAAGAAGUCAAUUAGUAAAGAGAUAAGCUAAUAAUGAGUAGUUUAUAGAUUGGUUAGUAAGUUAAUUAAAGAAAUAAACUGCGUCAAUUAGGUGUGAUUUAGACGACUGUGCCAAGGCCGUGCCUAUGUAAAGGCCUUGGCUGUGCUGUCUGGAUCAACCCUCACCUCUGCAGCAGCUCCAUCAGGGUCAGGAUAGAUUGGUUAGU